rnacentral:snRNA from 1 species
UUGGCGCUCUAGCCUCAAGGCUUAGAUCAAGUGUAGUAUUUGUUCUUAUCAGUCUAACCAACUGGUAUCUACGGGGACGCGAAACUGCUCUUGCGGCAGACAUAUAUUCUUCGAUCUGUAGAAGGACGAUUCUCUAUGUUUAUGUUCUUGGCAUUCUAUUUCUUUCUGUUCCCGUUAAUUUGCG